rnacentral:rRNA from 1 species
UGAAACCUACGCGAGGCAGCAGUGGGGAAUAUUGCACAAUGGGGGAAACCCUGAUGCAGCGACGCCGCGUGAAGGAUGAAGUAUUUCGGUAUGUAAACUUCUAUCAGCAGGGAAGAAAAUGACGGUACCUGACUAAGAAGCCCCGGCUAACUACGUGCCAGCAGCCGCGGUAAUACGUAGGGGGCAAGCGUUAUCCGGAUUUACUGGGUGUAAAGGGAGCGUAGACGGCAUGGCAAGUCUGAUGUGAAAACCCGGGGCCCAACCUCGGGACUGCAUUGGAAACUGUCGGACUAGAGGGUC